rnacentral:rRNA from 1 species
GACGAACGCUGGCGGCGUGCUUAACACAUGCAAGUCGAACGGAAAGGCCCUGCUUUUGUGGGGUGCUCGAGUGGCGAACGGGUGAGUAACACGUGAGUAACCUGCCCUUGACUUUGGGAUAACUUCAGGAAACUGGGGCUAAUACCGGAUAGGAGCUCCUGCUGCAUGGUGGGGGUUGGAAAGUUUCGGCGGUUGGGGAUGGACUCGCGGCUUAUCAGCUUGUUGGUGGGGUAGUGGCUUACCAAGGGUUUGACGGGUAGCCGGCCUGGGAGGGUGACCGGCGACAUUGGGACUGAGGUACGGCCCAGACUCCUACGGGAGGCAGCAGUGGGGAAUAUUGCACAAUGGGCGGAAGCCUGAUGCAGCAACGCCGCGUGCGGGAUGACGGCCUUCGGGUUGUAAACCGCUUUCGCCUGUGACGAAGCGUGAGUGACGGUAAUGGGUAAAGAAGCACCGGCUAACUACGUG